UACGUAGGCAGCAAACGUUGUUCGGAAUUACUGGGCGUAAAGGGCGCGUAGGCGGUACUUCAAGUCAGGCGUGAAAGCCCCGGGCUCAACCUGGGAACCGCGCUUGAGACUGGAGAACUAGAGUUCGGGAGAGGAUGGUGGAAUUCCCAGUGUAGAGGUGAAAUUCGUAGAUAUUGGGAAGAACACCGAUGGCGAAGGCAGCCAUCUGGACCGACACUGACGCUGAGGCGCGAAAGCGUGGGGAGCAAACAGG
rnacentral:rRNA from 1 species